UAAGUAAGCGGAGGAUAAGAAACUAAAUAGGAUUCCCUUAGUAAUGGCGAAUGAACAGGGAUAAGCUCAGCAUGGAAAUUGGGGCCUCUGGCCUUGAAUUGUAGUCUUGAGAUGUGCUGCCAACGGAGGCGCAGAUGUAAGCCUCUUGGAAAAGAGCAUCAGGGAGGGUGAGAGUCCCGUAUGUCAUCUGCAGAUCUCUGUGCACGGUGCGCUUUCUAAGAGUCACGUUCCUCGGGAUUGGAGCGCAAAUUGGGUGGUAAAUUUCAUCUAAAGCUAAAUAUUGGUUCGAGACCGAUAGCAAACAAGUACCAUGAGGGAAAGGUGAAAAGGACUUUGAAAAGAGAGUUAAAAGUGCCUGAAAUUGCUGAAAGGGAAGCGAAUGGAACCAGUUGUUCUUGGCUAGAUUGGUGUUGUCUAAUGUGAUGGCUUGCCACUUCAACGCAAGUGUGGUGGCAGGUUUUGAUCUGGAUGCGAUACUGGUUGCUUGCCUUGCGUGUCAACGUCAGUUCAUAAUUGAGGAAAACUCUAGGGACAUGGUAAUUUGCUUCCGGGUGACUGAAUGUGCCUAGUUGAACUCAUUUUUGAACUGCUCUCUGUGUGUCUGGUAGCAGUGCUCCUUGUGCUUGUCAGCAGUCUCUUGUUAGUUGCCUGGCAUGAGACUUGCUGGCGCCUGGAGCACAUCCUUGACAUAAGUACGAUGACGAAAUGGUUUUAUUCGACCCG
rnacentral:rRNA from 1 species